CUCUGAUUGGCUAGUUUGUAAAUCAAGAUGGCGGGCGGCGGAGUGCUGCUACAUCGAUUCGGCGUGAUCAUCGUGCAUGAGGCAGGAGGCGAGGGGAAACACGCAUGACAGGCUCAUGACGAAGAUGAAUGUGACGUCACUGUGAGGGGUUCUGCAAGGGAGGGGAAAGAAAAAUAAGGGAAAACGGGAAGAAAGAAUACAGGGAACUCGAGGGAGAGGAAAGCAUGGGAAGUGAACCAGAGGGAGAGAGCGAGGGACCGAGGGAGAGGUAAACAGAGUUGCCAAAGAAAGUUAUUUUUGGUUAAUUUCUAUUUAUUUACCAUUUUCAUUAACAGAACUCCGAUGAUUCAGAGUCUAAUCAUCAUUUGGAUAUUUGUGUCUUACUAUUAGUGCUAAAUAUCCAAUGUUCAUCUGAAAGAGGUUAAAAUGAGAUGGAGAGAACCUGGGUGGAUUUUUGUACUUGACAUAAACUUAUUGCCUCUUCGUACGACCCGGGCGGAAGCAGUGAUUUAUUGAAAAAAAUAGCUCCUUCUCGCCUUUGACUGACACGGUGGCGACGUACGCGGGCAGAGCAGCACUAUUAAUGUUCUGGAAUGUAAUUAUUCAGUUUACAAUACUUUAUCAUUAUCGUAAUGUCCCUCGCCCGAAAAUAUUAUAUAAAAUACUUAUAUUGCUUGCUGAUUGUGUAAUUGGCUGUAUGUGUGAUUUUACUGAGCAGAAUUUGUAUCAUUUUGUACUAUUUUAUUCCUAUUCAAGGAACUUUGUUCAUAGCCCAGUUGAGCUUACUUACACCCAAUAUCUCCUGAUAAUUCUUAUUAAGUUGUAUAUAAUGUAUGCUUAUCUGAUUAAAAUUCUUUUUGGUC